AGCUUUGUCUUAACGGAUAUAUAUUAUUACUACAAAACAGAGGAGUUUGAAAAAAAAAAAGAAAAAAAAAGGAGUUUGAACAAAAAGGACUUUGAGAUUUGCGUGACAGCAUACCAUGUUUGGUCCGGUCGAAGGACAACAAGAGGAUGAGGAAGAUGAAGAAGGCUCCUUGCUCUGAUAGGACACACCGUGAAUAGAAGAUAACGACGACGGAUCAUGAUGAUCCACAGCUAAAAGAGAUAUCAGAGAAAAAGGAGAGAAUACAAGGGGCUGAGCUUGGUUGGUAUGAAUGACGAUAGUGCAUAGAAGAGAGAGAGAGAGAGGGGGAGAGUCAGAGAGAGACUUGUUAAGUUUUAAGAGCCACAAAUGCUGUGGCCACUAUAAAGGAUCCUUUUCACGCUCUUUUAGAUUCCCCCGUUCUAGUGCUGCUUAAAAGAUUUUAGCCAUCUUUCUUUGUUGCCAUGUCGGAUUUUUCCUUUUUAUUUAAUUUAAAAGAUAUGGAGAAACACAAACACUUGGUUCGUAGUGUCUGGUUUAGCCAAAAAGCAUUUACAAGAAUAUGUAUAUUUACAUUUUUACCAAAAAUUGGUAAUAAUAAUCUUUACAUUUUUACCAAAAAAAAUAAUAAUAUGUAUAUUUGUAGUGGUUA